rnacentral:tRNA from 1 species
GCAGACAUAGUUUAACUAAAACAUUAGGUUGUGGGCCUACAAAUAAGAAUCUAAUCCUCUUUGUCUACC